rnacentral:rRNA from 1 species
AGAGUUUGAUCCUGGCUCAGAUUGAACGCUGGCGGCAUGCCUUACACAUGCAAGUCGAACGGCAGCACGGGAGCAAUCCUGGUGGCGAGUGGCGAACGGGUGAGUAAUAUAUCGGAACGUGCCCAGUCGUGGGGGAUAACGUAGCGAAAGCUACGCUAAUACCGCAUACGAUCUAUGGAUGAAAGCGGGGGAUCGCAAGACCUCGCGCGAUUGGAGCGGCCGAUAUCAGAUUAGCUAGUUGGUGGGGUAAAGGCCCACCAAGGCGACGAUCUGUAGCUGGUCUGAGAGGACGACCAGCCACACUGGAACUGAGACACGGUCCAGACUCCUACGGGAGGCAGCAGUGGGGAAUUUUGGACAAUGGGCGCAAGCCUGAUCCAGCAAUGCCGCGUGCAGGACGAAGGCCUUCGGGUUGUAAACUGCUUUUGUAC